CAGCCAAGUGUCCAUGGAGGCAAAGCUUGCGGGAUGAGAGGACCUUUUCUUCAGAACAAAGAGCUGGGAGGGAGUGAUUAAGCUCUUGCAGCAGGCAGAAGAACACGGGGGAACAGCAAACACUGAAAGAAGGAAAUAUGUCUCAUACCCCAUAAAGAAACAUCCCUAUAAUAUUUAACUGGACCAAGGAAUCAGGAAGCACGACCAUUCUCGAUCCCUGUUUCUCUCUCUCUCCUUUUCUCCCUCCUUCAAGGAAACUGAUAAGCAUCUGGAAAUCAGACUCUGCCAUUUUGCUCACCGUGGUCUGAAGCAUCCAUUCAAUUCAAAGGUAGACAAAGAACAGAUAUCAGGUCACAAUUGUAAAGACUCGAGGGGAUUCUGUAUGUAUUUGAAUUCUCACUUGGGGGUCUUGAAGCUCCAUUCUUUUCUAUCUCUUCUGGUUUCCUUGAAGCAAACAAAUACCUCCUCUCUGAGAGAAGCACGGCCAACAAGUUUCUUAAAAACUCACAUUUUUCUCUCUGUGGACAGUAGCCAGCGCCAGAGCUGCGGUCUCCACCCUCUUUGCUUCUUCCAAACGCUCAAGGGCAGACAGGCUGCGGUGCGUGGAGCAGACUCACUGCCUUGUGUCCGAUGUGCCGCUCCCAAUGAAACAUUUGUUCCGUGACAAGUUAAAUGUGUUCUGCCAUGUCACACGGCAUCGCAGAGUUCUCUGCCAUCACAUGGACAGCAAAGGGUCAUGAACUAGCCGUUUAAUGUCUGGGUCGGAUGGGCUGAGAAGACGAGCCACAAGCAGCCCUAGGACAAGCCACUCGUCCUCAGAUCAUCAGCUGAAUUCAGGACACUUAGGGAGAAGGGUUUUCUCUUCAGUCAAGCUGAGUUGCCAUCGCAGAACCUUCUGUGGAUGUCAGGCCGUUCCUGCUCUGAUCUUCUCCAGCGCAGGAAGCUGUCCUGACACGGAUUUUGCAAGUGUCAAUCGCAGAGCAUGAAGGCUUUAGGCAGUACGGAGCCUAUGAGACCAGAAGGAGAUACAGCCAUGGUGGGCAGCUCUGUGUUGGAGGUUCUGAGCAACUCUUUUCUUAAUGUGUUUUCAAUUUUCAGAAUUGUCUGUAAUGAGUAUGUCUACAUUUAUAAUUUUUAAAAUGAAUUUAAACAGUAAAUGGCAAACUAUACGGAAGAGGAAAUGGUUCUUUGUAGAAAGCCCAAGGGUGCUGAGUUCUCAGGACCACAGAAGACUUCUUGUGGCCUAUCCCUAGAAGGGAGAUUUUCCAGAGCCUUUCAGAGCGCUGUGGAGCACGUGUGAGUAAAACCCUCUGUGCACUGACCCCGACUCCCGGGGUGGAGAUCCAUUACAUAGCAGAGCAGUAGGGAAAGGAAAAGCUAAGUUGACUCUCUAAUACUAUAUAGUCCAUAAGUCACUCCCCUACAUUAACCAAUGGGCCAGAUGUGCA